rnacentral:tRNA from 1 species
CAUCGGCAUGACGAUCUGGCGCGUCGUCGGCGGCUUUGCGCUGGCCGCGAUCAUCGCCGUUCCGCUCGGCGUGCUGAUGG